UACAGAGGGGGCAAGCGUUGUUCGGAAUUACUGGGCGUAAAGGGCGCGUAGGCGGCUUUCUAAGUCGGGGGUGAAAUCCUGGAGCUCAACUCCAGAACUGCCUUCGAUACUGGAGAGCUUGAGUCCGGGAGAGGUGAGUGGAACUGCGAGUGUAGAGGUGAAAUUCGUAGAUAUUCGCAAGAACACCAGUGGCGAAGGCGGCUCACUGGCCCGGUACUGACGCUGAGGUGCGAAAGCGUGGGGAGCAAACAGG
rnacentral:rRNA from 1 species